AUUUUCUAAUAGGCAUCUAUGAAAUUUACAGGUAAUUUCAUAUUUUUUAGGUAAAAAAGAAGUUGGUGUUCUAUUAACAUAGAGGGGAGUAGCAAACAAUGCUCGGUUUCUUGACUUCUAAUAAACAUGGAGUUCCUUGCCUGAUUCCAGUGAGCCUUGUAGGUGGAAAGGAUAUACAACAUCAAUAGGCAUAUGUGUGCAAACCCAGACAAAAUGUUGGUCCAUGUAUAACCAUGCAGGUAUGCCUAUUUAUUGGCAAUGACAACAUAUCAGGUAUGUGGUAUAAACUAAUACACAAAAUUUUUAAUUUCUUGAAUAAGCUAACACACUUUCAUGAUAGAGUGGUUGUAGCAAAUGAGAAGUAGAUGUAAUUAUAUGCUUGAUGGCACAUGACAACAAACAUUCAUGUAAUUGAAGUUAAAAAUAGAUCUUGAUAUGAUUUUUUAUGAAUUUUUUGAAUUCUGUAUCUGAGGACUGGAUAUGAGAUUAGCAUGUUGUCUAACCGAUUUGGAUAUUAUAUUUUAUGGUUUUUGUACAAGAUUUGAGUGGAUGGUCUGUCAUAAUGAUAUAUAUCAUCCCAUUUUCUGAUUUUUAUAGGACUUAUGCCCCUUAUGAGCAAAAGAAGAAGUCACUACCUAAAGAUGUUUUUGAAUGUAUCCAAACUCCAACCUACAGAAGAGUAACUUGAAGCCUUUAAAAUGCAAGAUAUCAGUGUUGUUGGAAGGGCAAGAAAACUCCCUUGUGAAGACUGCAUUGAUCGGUGAUGAACAUCCAUUACGUGAUCUCUUAACAAAAAUUUUAGGAUUGGGUUUUGUUAUCUGAUAGAUACUCUUGAUUACAAGGAUGGAAAUUAUAAAUGUUAUUUUGAUUUUGAUUUGUAUUUAGUUAAAAUUCGAUCUGGCUCUGUAAUUUUCAAAUUUU